CGGGAGGCCGCUUCACACUGGCUGCCCGCGGGAUGCAGAGGGCGGGCCCCGGCGGCCGGGACAGGGGGCAGUCUCUGCGGGCUCUAGGGGGCUCCUGGGGGCCAUGGCUGGGGGGCCUCCCGCAGGAGCAAGCAGCAGCCUCUGUGCGAGGGCAGGGUCGUCCCCUCUGAUGCGUUUGUCCAGUCGGCGCGGGGUGGGGUGGGGCGGGGCGGCGGGUUCACCUGUCUCCCCCAGACGUCAGGGCGCUUAGAGGGCCUGGCCGCACGGUCCCCCGACGUCUGCCGGGGCCCGCCGGCGGCGACGAGGGGGAGGGCAGCAGGCCGCCCCCUCUCCCCGCGCCUCUCACCCCGCGCAGCUCCACCGGCGGCCCCCGGCUCCGCAUCCCGGGCCACCACCGCCGGGUCGGGCGUGGGUAGCGGGACCCCGGGGGCGGCCGCCCCGGGCUGGGGUGGCGCGCCCCUCGGCCUCCUCACGCGCGGGAAGGCCGGGCGGCCCCCAUCCUCGGCACUGGCCUCCCGGUUGGCCCCAGCCCCUGCCCCCGCCCGCGCCGCUUCCCGGCCUCCGGCGGUGCCGAAGUGACGUUCGCCGCCGCCGCCGCGGUGCCGCCUGGGAGUUGUAGUUCCCGGCUGCGCGGCCUAGGGACUCGGGCCAGCCUCAGGCCGCAGUGGGAACGCCGCGGGGCCGCGUGAGUCCUCCCGGGGAGAGAUGCUCGGCCUCUGGCCCUCCCUCAGCCGCCUGAAGGAAGAAGCCAGCGCGCCUCACAGACCCCGAGGGGGCUGCGGCUCGGCGGGUGGGGUUAACCGCAACUGACGCGCUUAGCAAAGAGGAAAAUAGGCGCCGGAUGAGCGACAGUUACGGCUCGAAGCCCCGAAAGCAGCCUGGAUGAGCCAAUGACAGGUGAGCACACGCCACGCGCCACACGCGUCACUUCUGAGCCCAGGCCUCACGAGCCAGCUCGUGGCUGUCUGGGGGACGACCUGGGCCCAUGCAUGAAGAUGCAGAGCAGAGCCCAGGUGACCAGCGUUGGACAGGGCACCCGGGUGCGUCUGACCCCUUCUGCGAACCACCAAGACUCGGGCUCACUUGAGCAUCAGGCCUACUCACGUGUGGGUCCACGGGUGCCUUGCGCUAACCCUCGGCCUGCAGGCUGCAUCUGCAAACGUCCAGGGAAUGCCUCGCCUUUGGACUGGAGCCCACUUCUCAUCCAGAACGUUUCUUCUCACGUACUGGGGAUGGAUUCAUACCCUAGAAACUCUCCUUUGGAAAAACUAGGACUGGGGGCAGGCGCUGUCGCCCACAACGCCGGCAUCCCCUGGGGGCGCCACUUCCUGUCCCAGCUGCUCCACUUCCAGUCCAGCUCCCUGCUGAUGGCCUGGGAGAAGCAGUGGAAGAUGGCCCGAGUGCCUGGGCCCCUGCACCCACGUGGGAGACCUGGAUGA
rnacentral:lncRNA from 1 species